AUAUUUUAAGGCAGAGCGAAUAAGAGUCUUGUUUGCAUUUAAUUUAACUUGGGCCUGAGCAUUUCUCAACCUUCUUCUAAGAAAGGAUAGCUUCCUUACGCUUUUUUGCAGAUGGUGUCAAUAUGAGGUUCCCAACUCAAGUUUGCUGAAAGCGUGACUCCAAGAAAGAUGUCCCCGGCGGAACUUUCUUACCAACCAGCACCUGCUCCGAGAGAGGGUAUGGUGAGUGGGGUGCCCGCAGCGACGUCACACUGUUUACAAACAGAAAGAGGUUUAUUGCCAACAGCACAUUCACCAAAACAAUCCUGAUACAAAAGAAUUUUCUGACCCCGAAGACGUAAGGCUGCACUGGUUUGAACUUAUUUUUUUGGAGUAUGUGGAAGACUGGAAGGAAGCCAGCUUACAGGAGAACUUUUUAAGCAAGGAAACAUACCGUGCACUAGUCUUUACAACCGUAUCAAGUGUAGAGUGCAUAAGAUUUCUUUUGAACGAGUGCAACUUUUAGUUUCUACAAGAAAGUUUUCUAGAGACCCAAUAGAAUCCUUUUUUGGAUUUUUGAUACGAACGGUAGGCUGCAACGACGUCAUAGACGUGCGAACUGCCCUUUGUGGAGUAGAGAAGAUGCUGAAGACAGGAAUCGUUGCAGCAUCACAGAAAAGUAACGUGAGCAGUUCUGCAUCAUUCUGCUCUUCGCGAGCAGUAACUUUCGCUCAAGUGGAUGGCAGCACAGUCGCAGUAUCUGUAAAUGUGAAGCUUGCUCAGCAAUCACUUUGAGAACUGUGCAUGUUGACAAGCAGCUUCAUACCUUCUCCAUACAUGGCUGCCAUUGCACUUGUCGCUGGAUACAUAUCUCGUGUAGUGAGCGAAAAAGCUGUGUGUGACAGUUGCAUAUCUUUAGUCCAGAAGCCGAAAGGGGACUAUGGUAUAGAUGGGCUGAUCGCACACCAAGACAGAGGUGGUCUGUUCUAUCCUACAUAGCAGCUUAUCAGAGUAUUGCAUGCUCCUAAGCAGUAUGUAGAUAUUAUGCUGCCCGACCGCAAAUCUCUGCGAAAGCCUCCUGAGGAGUGCAUGAAGCACAGCGUCAAUAUUGUGACAAAUGUACCUGUGUUGCGAUGUGAUCAAUGUGAUGAAAGCCGCAGGAGAAGUUUUGUGGAAUUGACAUGCAAGAAAUUUAUGAAACCAUUGCUUUUUAACCACGCAUUGGACAUCACUGACCAAAAUGCAGUGGCCAAAUUACAUUAAAAAAGCCAAUGUCGCAGGAAGUGCUUUAAUUUCGAAUAGUUUGUAUUGAGUGAUGCAUCUGGUUUCUCUUUGCCUUUUUAUGCGUGCAUAUGUGCUUCAUCAACAGUGCCUUUCCUACAAGCUGAUAAGUUUGUUUUAUGUUCAGUGCUCAUUGUAUGAAAGUGGUGCUUCUGCUUUUUUCACUUUUUUUAUGAAUGGAGUUUAAUUUUGUUUCCUAUAAGACCAUGUCUUUCAGUAGGAAGCAUUUUCUUGCCUAGCUGAGAUAUUUUUCGUGCGUUUAUUUUAUUGAUGCUAAGUCAUUGUUUGAUUUGAAGAAUGUUGAAAUAACAUCACUUGCCUGUUUCUUUUGUCUUUUUAAACUCAUGUGCAAACACAUUGAUUGUUUUCCCUUGUUAAUUUUCUGUUUUAUGCACUUAUAUGUAUGUGUAGUACCACGCUGCCAAGAUCAUGUAGAAGGUUGCAAUAUUUAAAUAGAAAUGAAUUGAAUAAAUUCAUCAUACUGGCUCUUUUCUUCCA